rnacentral:rRNA from 1 species
GACGAACCGUCCAAACGUUAUUCGGAAUCACUGGGCUUACAGAGUUCGUAGGCGGUCUGGAAAGUUGGGUGUGAAAUCCCUCGGCUCAACCGAGGAACUGCGCUUGAAACUACCAGACUCGAGGGAGAUAGAGGAAAGCGGAACUGAUGGUGGAGCGGUGAAAUGCGUUGAUAUCAGGAGGAACACCGGUGGCGAAGGCGGUGGUCUGGGCCGGCACUGACGCUGAGGAGCGAAAGCGUGGGGAGCGAACAGG